rnacentral:rRNA from 1 species
CAGUAGCCGCGGGAAAACGUAGGGUGCGAGCGUUAAUCGGAAUUACUGGGCGUAAGGCGUGCGCAGGCGGUUGUGUAAGACAGGUGUGAAAUCCCCGGGCUUAACCUGGGAACUGCGCUUGUGACUGCACAGCUAGAGUAUGGCAGAGGGGGGUGGAAUUCCACGUGUAGCAGUGAAGUGCGUAGAGAUGUGGAGGAACACCGAUGGCGAAGGCAGCCCCCUGGGCCAAUACUGACGCUCAUGCACGAAAGCGUGGGGAGCAAACAGGAUUAGAUACCCCCGUAGUCCCUGUCUCUUAUAA